rnacentral:rRNA from 1 species
UACAGAGGAGCCAAGCGUUGUCCGGAUUGACUGGGCGUAAAGCGUCUGUAGGUGGCUUUUUAAGUCUGCCGUCAAAUCCCAGGGCUUAACCCUGGACAGGCGGUGGAAACUACCAAGCUGGAGUGCGGUAGGGGCAGGGGGAAUUUCCGGUGGAGCGGUGAAAUGCGUAGAGAUCGGAAAGAACACCAACGGCGAAAGCACUCUGCUGGGCCGACACUGACACUGAGAGACGAAAGCUAGGGGAGCGAAUGGG